rnacentral:rRNA from 1 species
CCUACGGGGGGCAGCAGUGAGGAAUAUUGGUCAAUGGGCGGAAGCCUGAACCAGCCAAGUCGCGUGAGGGAAUAAGGCCCUACGGGUCGUAAACCUCUUUUGCCGGGGAGCAAGGGCCGGGACGAGUCCCGGUCCGGAGAGUACCCGGAGAAAAAGCAUCGGCUAACUCCGUGCCAGCAGCCGCGGUAAUACGGAGGAUGCGAGCGUUAUCCGGAUUUAUUGGGUUUAAAGGGAGCGUAGACGGCAUUGCAAGUCCGGAGUGAAAGCCCACGGCCCAACCGGGGGACUGCUCUGGAA